rnacentral:rRNA from 1 species
GAUGAACGCUGUCGGCGUGCCUAAUACAUGCAAGUCGAGCGAACAGACGAGGAGCUUGCUCCUCUGACGUUAGCGGCGGACGGGUGAGUAACACGUGGAUAACCUACCUAUAAGACUGGGAUAACUUCGGGAAACCGGAGCUAAUUCCGGAUAACAUGUUUAACCGCCUGGCUUAACACUGAAAGUCGGUUUUGCUGUCACUUAUAGAUGGAUCCGCGUCGCAUUAGCUAGUUGGUAAGGUAACGGCUUCCCAAGGCAACGAUACGUAGCCGACCUGAGAGGGUGGUCGGCCACACUGGAACUGAGACACGGUCCAGACUCCUACGGGAGGCAGCAGUAGGGAGUCUUCCGCAAUGGGCGAAAGCCUGACGGAGCAACGCCACGUGAGUGAAAAAGGUCUUCGGAUCGUAAAACUCUGUUAUUAGGGAAGAACAAAUGUGUAAGUAACUAGGCACGUCUUGACGGUACCUAAUCAGAAAGCCACGGCUAACUACGUG